rnacentral:tRNA from 1 species
AAAAAUUUAGUUAAAAUAUAACGUUAGUUUGUCAAACUAAAAUUAUCUCACAAUAAUUUUUA